rnacentral:rRNA from 1 species
UACGAAGGGGGCUAGCGUUGCUCGGAAUCACUGGGCGUAAAGGGUGCGUAGGCGGGUCUUUAAGUCAGGGGUGAAAUCCUGGAGCUCAACUCCAGAACUGCCUUUGAUACUGAAGAUCUUGAGUCCGGGAGAGGUGAGUGGAACUGCGAGUGUAGAGGUGAAAUUCGUAGAUAUUCGCAAGAACACCAGUGACGAAGGCGGCUCACUGGCCCGGUACUGACGCUGAGGCACGAAAGCGUGGGGAGCAAACAGG